rnacentral:rRNA from 1 species
UAUAGAGACUCAGAGCUGCAUAUCAAUAAGCGGAGGAAAAGAAACUAACUAGGAUUCCCUCAGUAACGGCGAGUGAAGCGGGAAGAGCUCAAAUUUGAAAUCUUCAAGGUUCUACCUUGACGAAUUGUAGUUUAAAGAAGUGUUUUCUGUUAGUGGAGUGGCAAAAGUUCUUUGGAAUAGGACAUCAUAGAGGGUGAGAAUCCCGUAUUUGGUCAUUCCUUCUAGCUUUGUGAUACACUUUCAAAGAGUCGGAUUGUUUGGGAAUGCAGUCCAAAAUGGGUGGUAAAUUUCAUCUAAAGCUAGAUAUUGGCGAGAGACCGAUAGCGAACAAGUACCGUGAGGGAAAGAUGAAAAGAACUUUGAAAAGAGAGUUAAACAGUACGUGAAAUUGUCAAAAGGGAAGCGUUUGACACCAGUGUUGUUUUUCCGAAAAUCAAUUACAAAUUUUGAUUUAUGAUAAGUGUAUGACUUCAUCGGCUUGCUUCGUCUCUUUACGGAUACUUUCUUGAUGCACUUUUCGGUUAACAAGUCAACAUCAAUUUCUUUUGUUGUAAAAGGGUAAUGAUGGAAGGUGGCUUUCAUUUCGGUAAAGUGUUUAUAGCCUUUUACCUCUGCAGUCGGAGAGAUUGAGGUCUGCAGCGUAGACUCCUUUAGGGGUUAGAUCCGUUUGUGCUAAGUUAUAGCUUUUAUAGACAACAUGUUGACUAUGAUUAAGUCUUGUAGCUUACCUCGCUUAUGUCUAUUUUACCUACGCUUAGGAUGUUGAUAUGCAUGACUGAUAU